CACGGUUCUCGGCCGUUUAACAUUCUUUUAAACGGCUCCCCCACUUCCAAUCUUAGUUUCCGUCCCAAUUUGGGAAUUGUUCCUGCCUGGAGGUGAGGGAACCAUCAAUGGCCUUGUCUGAGAUGCACGCCUUGGUGCACAACAAACUCCUCUGCCAUCGCUUAGUCCUUCAAAGCUGACAGUGCUUUUAGAGGAAUGAAUACUUUUGGACUGGAAAGUAGACCUGGAAAAAUGGCCGUUA
rnacentral:lncRNA from 1 species